rnacentral:rRNA from 1 species
CAGUAGCCGCGGGAAUACGUAGGGUGCAAGCGUUAAUCGGAAUUACUGGGCGUAAAGCGUGCGCAGGCGGUUCGCUAAGGCAGAUGUGAAAUCCCCGGGCUUAACCUGGGAACUGCAUUUGUGACUGGCGGGCUAGAGUAUGGCAGAGGGGGGUAGAAUUUCACGUGUAGCAGUGAAAUGCGUAGAGAUGUGGAGGAAUACCGAUGGCGAAGGCAGCCCCCUGGGCCAAUACUGACGCUCAUGCACGAAAGCGUGGGGAGCAAACAGGAUUAGAUACCCCCGUAGUCCCUGUCUCUUAUAC